ACGGAAGGCAGCAGUGGGGAAUAUUGGGCAAUGGGCGAAAGCCUGACCCAGCAACGCCUCGUGAAGGAAGAAGGUCUUCGGAUUGUAAACUUCUUUUAUGAGGGACGAAGGACGUGACGGUACUUCAUGAAUAAGCCACGGCUAACUACGUGCCAGCAGCCGCGGUAAUACGUAGGUGGCAAGCGUUAUCCGGAUUUAAUGGGUGUAAAGGGCGCGUAGGCGGGAAGGCAAGUCAGAUGUGAAAUCCAUGGGCUCAACCCAUGAACUGCAUUUGAAACUGUUUUUCUUGAGUGCUGGAGAGGUAGACGGAAUUCCUUGUGUAGCGGUGAAAUGCGUAGAUAUAAGGAAGAACACCAGUGGCGAAGGCGGUCUACUGGACAGUAACUGACGCUGAGGCGCGAAAGCGUGGGGAGCAAACAGGAUUAGAUACCCUGGUA
rnacentral:rRNA from 1 species